rnacentral:rRNA from 1 species
UACGGAGGGUGCGAGCGUUAUCCGGAAUUAUUGGGCGUAAAGAGCUCGUAGGCGGUUUGUCGCGUCUGCUGUGAAAACUGGAGGCUCAACCUCCAGCCUGCAGUGGGUACGGGCAGACUAGAGUGCGGUAGGGGAGACUGGAAUUCCUGGUGUAGCGGUGGAAUGCGCAGAUAUCAGGAGGAACACCAAUGGCGAAGGCAGAUCUCUGGGCCGUAACUGACGCU